GUGCUGGGAGGGGUAGGUGAGGGUCGCGAGGCUGCCUGAGCUUCUGAGUGAGCCUGGUGCUUUUGGGAACGCGGGACGGGCGACCUGCGGUGCCAGGAGCGAGGCCGCGGCACCACUGCGCCGCUGCCGCCUGGAUGGGAAGUUAAGGUUUACUGCGAAGUCCACCCAGCGUUCCGAGGUGGCAAGGGCUCUGGAACAGCCACAUAAAGCCCUUGAAGAUAAGGAUGGUCAAAAAAAAUUAUCAUAUCUGCAGAAACUCAGAUCUUGGAAAGAUUUACUAGUUG